UUCCGGUUGAUCCUGCCAGAGGCGACCGCUAUUGGAGUUCGAUUAAGCCAUGCGAGUAGAAAGAAAUUAGAUUCUUUGCAUACUGCUCAGUAACACGUGGAUAACCUGCCCUACACUGGGGGAUAAUCUCGGGAAACUGAGGAUAAUACCCCAUAGACCACUACGCCUGGAACGGUGAGUGGUUGAAAGCUCAGGCGGUGUAGGAUGGGUCUGCGGCGUAUCAGGUCGUAGGGGGUGUAAUGGACCUCCUAGCCAUCGACGCGUACGGGUUGUGGGAGCAAUAGCCCGGAGACGGAUUCUGAGACACGAAUCCGGACCCUACGGGGUGCAGCAGGCGCGAAAACUUCACACUGCAGGAAACUGUGAUGAGGGAACUCCAAGUGACUGCACAAUGUGUAGCCUUUUCUUGAAUUUUAAUAGUUCUUGGAAUAAGGGCUGGGAAAGACCGGUGCCAGCCGCCGCGGUAAUACCGGCAGCUCGAGUGGUCGUCGCUUUUAUUGGGCCUAAAACGUCCGUAGCCUGUUUGGUAAAUCUGUGGGUAAAUCAACGAGCUCAACUCGUUGAAUUCUGCAGAGACUGCCAGACUAGGGACCGGGAGAGGUAUGAGGUACUCUGGGGGUAGGGGUAAAAUCCUGUCAUCCUCAGAGGACCACCUGUUGCGAAGGCGUCAUACUGGAACGGAUCCGACGGUCAGGGACGAAGCCUAGGGGCACGAACCGGAUUAGAUACCCGGGUAGUCCUAGGUGUAAACGCUGUGGAUUUGGUGUGUGGGGUCCGCAAUGGGCCCCAUGUGCCGGAGUGAAGAUGUUAAAUCCACUGCCUGGGGAGUACGGUCGCAAGGCUGAAACUUAAAGGAAUUGGCGGGGGAGCACUGCAACGGGAGGAGCGUGCGGUUUAAUUGGACUCAACGCCGGGA
rnacentral:rRNA from 1 species